AUAAAUGAUUAUAUGCCUCUUGAUUUAUCUCUAUUGUUCUUGUGAAAAUCUCAAUGGUUUUUAUUGAUGGUACUGAUUUUUGGUUUGUUUAUUGAAUGGCACAUUUAUGCUGUUAAUUGCAUAGAGGUACAGAUUGUUCAAAUUGUGGUGUAGACUUGCAGUAAAUACGACCUACGACUUCUUCUCACGUGUCCUAAACCUUUGAUCGCUGCGGUAAACGGUCCAACAGCUGGAUUUGGUCUUUUCCUUAUCGCACUGUCUGAUAUAGUCUUUGCUUCAGAAAAGUGCCUUCGAGAAACAGACGUUGAUGGUCAACAGUAAUAUACAAGAACUUGAGGAUAAAAAUCACGAGGAAUGCGAUUUGUUUCAAAAGUACAUCAGUAACGAUGAUAUUUUGGAUGGCAUCGUAAGAAGAUAGUGGACGAGCUUACAGGAAUUAUUGACCAUCAAGGUAUAUUUACGAUGAAACUUAUGGCGCGUGCAAAUAUUUAUUGUACAAAUAGGAUAUUGUGUCCCCAAUGAUCCGUUUUUAACCUUUACGCAGUGGAAUUUGUAGCGUUGUUGGUGUAAAUCAUUCGUAACUUGAGUUGAAUAACAAAACAUAUUCGUUCAUUUAA